rnacentral:rRNA from 1 species
CCCCUAGAUGUUCUGGGCCGCACGCGCGCUACACUGAACAGUUCAACAAGUCUUAACCUUGGCCGAUAGGUCUGGGUAAUCUUUGAACGCUGUUCGUGAUUGGGAUAGACCUUUGCAAUUAUGGGUCUUCAACGAGGAAUUCCUAUUAAACGCAAGUCAUCAGCUUGCAUUGAUUACGUCCCUGCCCUUUGUACACACCGCCCGUCGCACCUACCGAUUGAAUGGUCCGGUGAAAUCUCGGGACGGCGGCUUGGUCGCUUGCGUCCGACUGCUGAAACUUGAUUAAACCAUAUCAUUUAGAGGAAGGUGAAGUCGUAACA